rnacentral:rRNA from 1 species
CGUAAACAGAGGGAAGCGAGCCCGCGAGGGGGAGCGAAUCCCAAAAAUAACGUCCCAGUUCGGAUUGUAGUCUGCAACCCGACUACAUGAAGCUGGAAUCGCUAGUAAUCGCGGAUCAGAAUGCCGCGGUGAAUACGUUCCCGGGUCUUGUACACACCGCCCGUCACACCAUGGGAGUCGGAAAUGCCCGAAGUCUGUGACCCAACCUACGGGAGGGAGCAGCCGAAGGCAGGUCGGAUGACUGGGGUGAAGUCGUAACAAGGUACC